rnacentral:lncRNA from 1 species
UUGAAAUGUACUAAAGGAUUUGAGUUUUUCUUGAAAUAAAACAGUUUUCUACCCCUCGUGGUAGCUGGUUUGAAAAAGAAUGGUUCCCGUGUGGGGAUUAGUUUUUAAAUUGAUUUCUCUGUGGUUUUAUGGAUUUAGUAUUUCAAAAUCAGUUUCCAGGUAGGAAACAUUUUAACUGAUAGAUGUAGAAUGUUAUUCAUAAUUCAAGUUUCAUAUCUGGGUGUGUGAAUGGAAUGGAUGAAUGUUACCUAUCUUAUUGUUCAUCUGGUUGUGGUUGUGAUUGUAUGUGUAUCUAUACUCUGUUGUACUUGUGCGACGCCGUGCAAAUACAGGGGAGACUCUGUCCGUGUGAACAGUGGAGCUCCUGUAUUUGUGGCGGAUCUGGCAUACUCUGGGGUCAGAUUUUCAAAAA